rnacentral:lncRNA from 1 species
GGGUUAUGUUUUCACUCUGCUGAUGGUGUCUUGUGAUGCACUGAUGUUUUGAUAGUUUAAUUUUUCUAUUUUUUUCUUUUGUUGUACUACAAGAGCUUGAGUGAUUCUGACGUAGCCAAAUUUGGGAACCCUAAAUUUGGUCCAUAGUCUAAACAUUUUUUUAUUUAAACCCUCACCUCCCUCUUUUUUUGCUUUUUCCAAGUGAAGACUCACCCGGGGGGGAAAAAAUCUAUUUUUAAAAGAAAGAACUUUUUUUAAAAUUUUUUUGUUUUUUAUUAAAGUGUAGUUGAUUUACAGUGUUGUUCCAAUUUCUGCUGUAUAGCAAAGUUACCCAGUCGUGUGUGUAUGUGUAUAGAUAUAUACACAUUCCUUUUAUCAUGCAAUUGUCCAUCACAUUCUAUCCCAAGAGACUGGAUAUAGUUCCCUGUGCUAUACAGUAGGAUCUCAUUGCUUAAACAUUCUAAAUGCAGCAGUUUGCAUCUACGAACCCCAAACUCCUAGUCCAUCCCACUCCCUCCCCAAUCCCCUUGGCUACCGAGUCCGAGUCCGUUAAAAGAGAGAACUUCUUGGAUGAACGGUUGUCUUCCAAAUGAGUACCUGAUCCCUGGUCUCCCGAUUCCCCCAGCAAUAUCUUCAGAAGAACUUCCACAGGUUUAAACAGCAUUGAUCUAGUGAUCUAACUCCCCACCACCACCUUUUAAAAUGGGGACACUGGGUCCUAGCAAAGGAAAAUGCGUUUCUAGCUUGAUUCCUGGCUGAUCAAGGUGACCAUUUGAUGUGAAAAAAUCAACAAAGAAGAUGUUUGUGUGUACAGGGAGCUUUGAAAUAAAAGCACAAUGCAAAGGUAAAAAUAAGACAAGUUUGCCAUCUCUUAAUGCAAAAGAUCACUCAAGUUUAACUAGGUAAUUAAUUAAUUCACAAGUCAAUCCGAAGUAAGAGCAAUUACUAAACAAUGACAAAUGAUAAGGAAUAAACCCUAAGGUAAGUGAUGAUCAAGAAGAUGAAACAGUUUUAGCUUGGAAUCCUAUUACAAUUCUAUUUCAAUAUAAAUAAGCUGACACCAGAAGCAAACGAUUAACCCCAAAGCCACUGGCUGUUCAUUAGCUAAGGAAUAAUUUUACAUUUCAUUAUUAUUUGUGUUGGCUAAAUUUCCAUUAAAGCCAAUUUAGUAAACUGGCCUUCUGAUGGGCUUGAAAUUAAAAGGAGGAAGAGAAGGCAGGGAGGGGACAAAACAGAGGGCAUCAUUUGAGCAUCUAGGGACGAGAAACUCAUGGGGGCAGAUUGCCACUUUAAUUAAAAAUAAUGUCUCAAUUCACUUUGAAAAUGAGCCUCCGGAAAGUGCCUGGGAAAUUUUCCCUGGCCAGAGUGUCUGGCUCAUUCAUGCAGUGGGUGAUUUCUGUUGCCAGGGUUUCUGAUUGAAUGGAGGAAUGGCCGGCUCAUUCCCGGGUCAACUCCUCACAUCCCCAGCUGAGCAGUCUUCAGGAGGAGAGAAAGGGCUCCUCAAAUGCUUGUCCCAGAGCCUGGGCAGAGAAGUCCCUGCUUCAUUCUUUGGGCCAGGAUGCAGGCUUAAGGAUUUUUAUGUAACAUAAAAAUGAGAGGAAACUUCCCAGUGUAGCUUAGUAGUAAUGAACCCAACUGGUAUCCAUGAGGAUUCGGGUUCCAUCCCUGACCUUGUUCACUGGAUUAAGGAUCCAGCAUUGCCAUGAGCUGUGCUGUAGCUGCCAGCCUAUGCCAGAGCCACAGCAACUCGGGAUCCGAGCCGCAUCUGCAACCUACACCACAGCUCACGGCAACGCCGGAUCGUUAACCCACUGAGGAAGGGCAGGGAUCGAACCCGCAACCUCAUGGUUCCUAGUCGGAUUCGUUAACCACUGCGCCAUGACGGGAACUCCUCAUGAAUGAACUCUUAAUUCUCCCAACUCCUGUAAGGAGGUAGAUCCUGUUAUUAUUCCCAUUUUACAGAUGUGAAAUCUGGGACACAAGAUGAGAAACUGAUAUUACUCAGCAAAGAUGGCGCAGAACAGGGAUUCAAACUCAUGUCAUUUAUUCAAGGGCUGUGUGCUUAAUCACAAGGCUGUACAGUCUCUUGAUAAAAUUAUGAAACCACUUUGUGCUAAGUCCAACAACCAACUGAGUACAGGGUGUAUAGUGAGUUGUUAGGGAAGGCAAAGCUGCAAAGCUGAGUCAGGGACAAUUUAGGGGGGCUUAGAAUGCCAGGCCCCGGGGUUUGAACUUGAUUCUUUGAGGUUUCAGAGAAUGCAAUGCCCAGACCACUGGAAGGGAGUCCAUAAACAGGCUUUAAAAUAAUAUUUAGUAGUUACGUAUAUGUUUUAAGUUUAUUAGAAAUAUAUUCAGUUUGCAUAUACAAUCAAGUGGAAAAGAGAACACAUAAAGAACAAAGGAAAUUUUAUUUAACACUUUACAUAUUCUCCUACUAUGUGUCAGGCAUUAUUCUAAGUGCUUUGCAUUUUAACUCUUUUAAUUCUUAGAGCAACUCUAUAAGGCGGGUACUAUUAUCCACCUCACUUACAAAUGAGGAAACCGAGGCAAACAGGUUAACUUAGAUCUCACAGCCAGCAGACGGCAGAGCCGGGAUGGGAACCCGGAUGUUUGUCUCCAGCCUGUGCUCUUCGCAAUGAUGCUAAGUGAUGAAGAGUCGAGGAGGGAGGGCAUCUGCUCCAGGUGAUGUGCUCCAGAAUGACCUCUUCGAGGACUGCCAGGAGGCGUGGCGCAGAAGCUGACUCCACGCCUGUGAGAGGCACUGGCAGCAAACUGGCACUUCUUAGCCAACAAGGCAGGAUUCCCAGCACAUUUCAAGGAUCAGGUGUCCACGUCAGAAACCAACCCAGCUCUAAGUGCCCCAAAAUCACGUUGCGGGGAGUGGUGCUUUUGUGCUCAUGUGCCUGGACCACUUAUGCACCUGCUCUGGAAGCCCGAAGCCCCCAGGACUGCCCAGACCCCCUGCUUUGGGAUGUGGUAGAAGAAACCAGAGUCUGGUUUUGGAUGCUCUCAGGCAGGAAGUAUUAUGCAUCCAGAGGAGGCCUAAUCGCACCGCCACCCCUGACCUACGAGGAGAGCUCUUGAAGCCUGACUCACCACCAAGCCCUGGAGCAGGACUGGAGACCGCCUCUCCCUGCACAUCUGCGCCUCUUCCGUCUCCAUCGGAACCCUAUGGCUGGUGAGUUCCUUAAGGGACCACUCUCAUCAAGAAUGCCCACUCCCACCUCGAUCCACCUGCUUUACCAAAAGCCUCCCUAAGGCAGAAGCGGUGCCCUGCACCCCACUCCAGUCCCGCAUGGCCACCCAAAGUGUUUGAUGCCUGAUCCAGGAUAGGAGAUGGUCAGCAGCCCAGCUCUGCCCCCACCAGCUUUCUGCCUCUACAUGGCCCUGGGCGAGCCCGGUCACCACUUUGUACCCAUUCUCUUCAUUUGAAAAGGAGGAACUGAGAGCAGAUCCAAGUCACGUGACUAUGUUAGGGGAGGGGGUUACCUAGAUAAUGUAUCGAAAAUGUUUAGCCCAGUGCUGGGCACCUAUUACAUACUAGAUAAAUGAGAGCCAUGACUCCUAAUAAUAUUAAUACAAGUUUCUAGUUUGACGGCCCAGACCUGGAGUGUGGAAACAUGCAAGCAUCAUUUACAAGUCCUCCAGUCUUGCCUGCGUUGGGUUUGGCACCAAGGAACCACCACAACCUCUGAGAGCUGAGGCCGUCUUCCCUUUGUUAGAUCCUCUGCUUUCCCUUCUGGCCUGGACAAGCCCUCCCUGCUUUACCUAAUAGGAGGAGCAAGUCUUUGCCAGAAGAGAGGGAGACAUCCUUCGAAAGGCAUCUAAAACGUUGCCAUUUAUGGUGCAGAGUGAAGGCCAUAGCUACUCUUUCAAUGACACAUGCACAAAAGCUCUUGUUAUGGACACAAAUAAGAAAAGGGAACCCUUCGCCUGGUGUAAUUCACUUCAUUUAUUGACCAGAGUUCUCUCCCCCAACCCCGAUUCCUUUGCAUUUGUCAGCGGUUCAGAGACCCCUGGCAUUCAGCAUGAUUUGUAAUGUAAAUUAUAUAAUUGUACUUUCACAUAUUUUAACAUCAAAUGAAAUGAUUGACUACAGAAUCGGAGCUGUCUACAGGUGGGGGUCAAUUACCAUCUGAAUAAUCACAGUGCCACACAAGAAUAGCAUAGCCGCUGAGCGUGACAUAUUUUUAUCUCUAUGCAUUUCAAUGAAGUCAGGCUGGUACAUAAAAGGUUAUCACCUAGGAAACAUAUUUUCCUAAGCACAAGUUAAACAUGCAAGUGAGAUCAGCAAAGAUAUUCAAUUUAGCCAGUCAACCCUAACCUAUUAAUAUUUUAACAAAAUCCAGUGAGGAUAAUUUUUUUCUUUGAUCCCAUUUCAUGUGAGCAGCCUGGAAAGGGAAGAAAAAUUAAAAACAAAAUAGUCAAGCAUACAGAAUGAGGUUAUGUAUUAAGUGGGCUAUUUAAUGUUUCUGGCAUUUCAUAGCCCAGGGGAAAGUGUGGAUGGAUUUAACCAUCAAGAGCUGUGUUCCCUUGGCCACAAAGUUCGAGAAACAUAAAAUAAUCUAUACUUCCAAGCUGACAAAUCGUACCUGACACCCAGCUUCAUCUCACCGGGACUCCGGAGAUCAGCAUUAAUCAUAUGUUACAGGGAGUAAAAAGAAAAGUAAAUCACGCCACACUGAAAAGUGAGAUGGAAGGUCUUCAGGCAAGGAUUUUAAUCAAUAAUAUGUGGGAUGAUAACCAGAAGCUAUUGUUUUAAUCUUCCAAUAUGAAAAGAAAUGAAUGCAAAACACAAAGCUACUGAGAGCAGAAGCGGCUUCCAUGAUGCCUUGUAAGAACUGAAAACAAUUUGGCAGCUCAACUUCCCGUCUUGAUGCAUGACACCCCCCCCCCCACACACACACGAUUUCUUUUUAAUGGGAAGGAGUCAGGUGCAUCCUUGAAGUUGCUUGUGUCUGGAGCCAUUGCUUUUGCCCAGGUCCUGGGUCCCAAGCUACGCUUUGCUCUGUUCUCCCUGUUCAGCCAAUGUCUACUAGUUUGGCACUUCCAGCUUCCAUUUCUGCCCCUGCUAAGAGAUGCUUCUCUCCUAAAUUCUCAGUCCCUGUGGCUUAGGUCGUGUUGGCUUCCCCAGCGGUUCUAGGGAAAGAGGUGUUUCUGUCCUGGCAUCACUGAUUUAUUAGUUAAUUAAUUAAUUCACGAUUAACUAGUUCUGGGAUGAGUGGGAGAUUCAUUAGAGCCCACGAGAUACAGCCUUGGGUGUUCUUGGCUGUACUCUUAUGAAAGAGGCUGAUAUGGGUUGAACUGUAUCCUCCUCAAAAUACAUGUGUUGAAGGCCUAACUCUAAAUACCCGAGAACAUGAGCUUUUGGGAGAACAGGACCAUUGCAAAUCUGAUUCGUUAAGAUGAAAUCAUACUGGGGUAAGUGGGACUCCUGAUACAAAGCAAUUAGCAUCCUCAUAAAGAGAAAAUUUGGACCCAGACAGAUACACACAUAAUGUAUCUGGGAGAUGCCAGGUAAAGACGAAGAGCUCUGGGUGAUGCUUUUACAAACCAGAGAACUGCAAUUAUGUCCAGCAAACUGCCAGAAGCUAGGGAGAGGCAUGGAACAGAUUCCUCUGGCCCUGGUGACAUUUUGAUCUCAAAAUUCUAGUCUCCAGAACCGUGAGACUAUUUCUAUUAUUUAUGCCCCUCAAUUUCCAUCCAGAGUUUUUUCAGGCAGCCCUAGCAAUUUAAUAGAGAGGCCCCCUCUCUUUUAUUCCCAUGUACUAGGAACUUUGAAAAUUUAAGUUUGGUCUGUGCUAUGCUCUGAAUGUGUUCUCCCAAAAUUCAUCUGUUAGAAUCCUAACCCUGACAGAUGGUAGUAUGAGGAGGCCUUUGGGAGGUGCUUAAGCCAUAAAGGUGGAGCCCUCGUGAAUAGGAUUAGCAUCCUAUAAAAGAGGCCCCCCGAGAGAUCCUUAGCCCCUUCCACCACGUGAGGCCACAAUGAGAAGUCUGUGACCUGGAAGAGAUCCCUCACCCAAGCACGCCGGCUCUCUCAUGUCGGACUUACAGCCUCCAGAACCAUGAGAAAUACAUUCCUGUUGUUUGUAAGCCACCCCGUCUGUGGCAUUUUGUUAUAGCCGCCCAAAUGGACGGAGACAGCACGGCUGGCGUUUAUCUUACCCAGCAGUGGAGCCAACAAUUGCAAAGCUGAGCGCCUACUUACAGAGAAACCUACACCUCAGGCAGAUAUUUCCUGGGUCCCUGGGUCCAUCCAUACCUGAGGUUUUAUCCCCAAUUUUGUGAUUAUGUGAGCUCUUAAAUUCCCAUUUUUACUUAAGCUACUUACAAUUGAAUUUUCAUCACUUACAACUGAAGGAAUCCUAAAUGGUUUAUUCUGAAAGCAGUCAGUGUGCUCUUAGGAUGAAUUAGUAGACCAGAAGUCUUCAGAAAAAAGGACAUGUUCUUGUCAAUUAGACCACAGGAAGGUGGCAUUCAGUUUGAGGCAUCACACGUUCAAGAGGGAUAAACAUGGGCAGAGUGUUUGAGUGGUGAAAGACCCGGGCUGUGAAUGACAGGAGGUAUAAAGGAUGCUUGUCCUAGGCCAAAAAAAAAAAAAAAAAAAAAAA